UACGUAGGGUGCAAGCGUUAUCCGGAAUUAUUUGGGCUAAAGGAGCUCGUAGGCGGGUUUGUCGCGUCUGUCUUGUGAAAACUGGAGGCUCAACCUCCAGCCUGCAGUGGGUACGGGCAAACUAGAAGUGCGGUAGGGGAGAUUGGAAUUCCUGGUGUAAGCGGUGGAAUGCGCAGAUAUCAGGAGGAACACCGAUGGCGAAGGCAGAUCUCUGGGCCGUAACUGACGCUGGAGGAGCGAAAGCAUGGGAGCGAACAGG
rnacentral:rRNA from 1 species